ACACACACACACAUGGCUUGCUUCCUAGUGCUUCGGCAGCAUUUGUGUCGCAAGAUUAACAGCUUGAGUGGAAGAGUAAAUUUAUCCUCUGUAUCGGACGGAACAGGUUUGGUACGAGCUGGCUCACACAGUACAUCUUGCACACCACAGACCUCCAAGUACAUCUUGUGCCGAUAUUACCAUUCAGAAAGAAAAACACCUUGGUACAUAUCGUGGAGACUGUUGGAAUCCGUCAGAGUUUCAGUCCCAGUUUAGCAGGUUCACGCCUGUUGGCCAACUCAAAAACAAUCUGUAGCCGGCGGUUGAUUCUGAAGCUGGUUGCUCCAUCGAGAGCCUGUGCCUUCAUAUCUUGA